rnacentral:rRNA from 1 species
GAUGAACGCUAGCGGCAGGCUUAACACAUGCAAGUCGAGGGGCAGCAUGAGACGGAGAUUCGUCGAAGUCUUGAUGGCGACCGGCGCAAGGGUGCGUAACGCGUGAGCAACUUGCCCGUUUCUGGGGAAUAACCGGUGGAAACGCCGACUAAUACCCCAUAGCAUAGCAGAGAGGCAUCUUUCUGCUAUUAAAGAAUUUCGGAAACGGAUAGGCUCGCGUGACAUUAGCUAGAUGGCGGGGUAACGGCCCACCAUGGCGACGAUGACUAGGGGUUCUGAGAGGAAGGUCCCCCACACUGGAACUGAGACACGGUCCAGACUCCUACGGGAGGCAGCAGUGAGGAAUAUUGGUCAAUGGUCUGACGACUGAACCAGCCAUGCCGCGUGAAGGUCACGGCCCUAUGGGUCUUAAACUUCUUUUGUAAGGGAGCAAUAAGUUCUACGUGUAGGAUGAUGAGAGUACCUUACGAAUAAGCAUCGGCUAACUCCGUGCCAGCCGCCGCUGUAAUAC